rnacentral:misc_RNA from 1 species
GAAGCUCAAAUGUGUUGGCAACACAAGCUCUGCUUUUAUAACCUCGGGUUCCAUCUUCCUCCCUUUAUAGAUGUAAGAAAAAAGGCAGAUUUGAACACAUAAUCGAAGCAAAAUUUAUCAAAUUUACAAUUAAAAUAAAAAUAUUCAAUAUUUUUUUCAAAUAAAAAAAGCAAGAAAAUUUGAAGUUGAAGCUACUUAUUUCUUAGGGCAAAGGAUUCUCCCUUCCUCCCAAUUCCCCCUUAUUCUCCUAGUGGCAGGGCUUGAGCAGUUCACUAAAUCUACCCAAAUAAAUUUUGAAAUUCAAACAUAAAAU